rnacentral:rRNA from 1 species
GAUGAACGCUGGCGGCGUGCUUAACACAUGCAAGUCGAACGGAGAAAGGGUAGCUUGCUAUCUUUUCUUAGUGGCGGACGGGUGAGUAACGCGUGGGUAACCUGCCCUUUGCAGGGGGAUAACAGUGAGAAAUCACUGCUAAUACCGCAUACCAACUUCUUUCGCAUGAAAGAAGUUUGAAAGAUUUAUCGGCAAAGGAUGGACCCGCGUUGGAUUAGCUAGUUGGUGAGAUAACAGCCCACCAAGGCAACGAUCCAUAGCCGGCCUGAGAGGGUGAACGGCCGACACUGGGACUGAGACACGGCCCAGACUCCUACGGGAGGCAGCAGUGGGGAAUAUUGCACAAUGGGCGAAAGCCUGAUGCAGCGACGCCGCGUGAAGGAUGAAGGUCUUCGGAUUGUAAACUUCUAUCAGCAGGGAAAAAGGGCCUAUGGCCUAUGACGGUACCUGACUAAGAAGCCCCGGCUAACUACGUGCCAGCAGCCGCGGU